rnacentral:rRNA from 1 species
AUUGAACGCUGGCGGCAUGCUUUACACAUGCAAGUCGAACGGCAGCACGGGUGCUUGCACCUGGUGGCGAGUGGCGGACGGGUGAGUAAUGCAUCGGAACGUGUCCUGAAGUGGGGAUAACGCAUCGAAAGAUGUGCUAAUACCGCAUAUUCUCUGAGGAGAAAAGUAGGGGAUCGAAAGACCUUAUGCUUUUGGAGCGGCCGAUGUCUGAUUAGCUAGUUGGUAAGGUAAUGGCUUACCAAGGCAACGAUCAGUAGUUGGUCUGGAGAGGACGGCCAGCCACACUGGGACUGAGACACGGCCCAGAC